ACCCUCCACGUGUCAUCAUCCCAAUACCCUCUCCCUUCCCCUCCCCCCACCACCUUCCCCAUUGCUACGUACCUGAGAAUUGAACGUUUAACUUGAUCACCACACAAAAGUCACCAUUGUUGACAAUUACAAGGUGAACGAGGAGGAGUAGAUUCCUCCUCAUUCAUCCAUCAAACCAUCGUCACAACACUAUUCGUUUCAUAAAAGGGAAGAAUUAUGUCGUAUCCAUUAUCGUCUCAUAUGUCAAAUGAUGGAGUUGAUUCGUUAAUAUUACCGUCUGCGGAGCAAUUUCAAAGGGUGCGGCAAUCAAAAGGAAACCUGGAGCUGAAUAAUGAGUUGAAAAUAAAAGCAAAUGAACUUGAAAAGCUUUUCGCUGAGCAUCAAUUGCGUACUCCUCCUGCAGCUGGAAAUUAUCAAUCUAAUUAUUUUACCAGCAGCAAAAUUAGUAGGCACGGUCACAUGCAAAGCUGUCCAUCUGACAAUGCCGGCGGCGACUUUCUCGAUGAUCAAGUAUUUGAUAAUGAUAGUAUGAAUAUAGAUAAAAACUCUUAUGAUCAUGAGUUGAUUGGUUUUGCGGGUUCUCCGGGGAAAUUCUAUGAUAUGUAUAUGAAGAAAAGGGAUGCGAAACUUAGAGAUGAAUGGAAUACUAAAGGAGCGGAGAAGGAAGCGAAGCUGAGGGCUAUGGAGGAUUGUCUUGAGAGGAGUACAGCUCAAAUGAAGAGUAUUGAGAGACGCAGAUCGUUUAGCUCCAGCUCAAGUUUUAGCAGAGAACAGCAACAAUUUCAGCAAAGUGAUGAUAGAGAAGAUAUGUCUGAAUUCAUGAAUCAGAAGAGGAAUGAUGUACUCAGGUCUUCUAGUGAAACAUCUUUGGAAGAAGUUUCUAAGCAUACUACUACUCCGAGGAAGAAACAAAAUUUACCUAUCAAACCUUCAUCCAAACCUCGGAACAUAGUAGCAUCCGUUCCAAGGUCUCCUAUGAAGGUUUCCAGUAGUCCUUCCAGUCGGCGAAAAUCUCAAGCUGAAAGUCCACUUGCACGAUCCGUUCCAAACUUGUCUUACAUGAGAAAGGAGAAUGCUGAGCCUUAUUCUCCAGCUGGUAAAACCACUCCCCGUGCACCUUAUCCGCGUAGCAAAUUACUGCACUCACAGUCCUUAAGAAAAAGCUCUGCUAUGAAUUCCGAGGGUGUUAUCUUGGCAACUCUCAAAUUUGAUAAAGACAAAACGGAACAAAGUCCUAAGUGUGUAAUGUCAGCACCUCGUAAAUCUGUGAAGGACAAGAUGAGACAGAGUCUAAAUGAUAAAUUUUCCAACAUUUUGGAUACAAAGACUUCACUAAAGAAGGAAAAAGAUGCUGAUUUCAGCUCAAGAGGCGGUUUGACAGAGGCAAAGGGUUCUAACAUUGCAUCUACGUUUACACACAACGAUGAUGAGGAUGUUGAUGACAUGGAAUUGGAUUCUGAGGACUCAACAGGUAGAGAUGUGGACGAGUUUGAGAGCAUGAUAUCUGCAGUUGAGGAAAAUUUUGAUAUUGGAGCACCAAGCCCGAGUCAUGAGACGGAGAAGAAUUAUUCUGGACCAGAAAAUAGACGUUUACUGAGAUCACUUUCUCAAGUUUGCUAUGCUUCAGAAGCCGGAUAUUCGCCUUCUUCUGUGCCUUCCAACUUCUUAAAUAGUCCUGUCUCACAGACUCAUGAGGUGUCUGAUGUUGAUGCUUUUGACUCUCCUAUGGGAAGUCCUACAUCCUGGGAUUCACAUUUUCUGAGUUCAACACAGGCGGAUGGUGCUACUAGAACGAGGAAGAAAUGGGGAACGACCAAUCAGAAUCCAAUCAAUAUCAUAAAAUCUUCUCAAAGUCUUUCACGCAAGGAUAAGGCCAGAGGAUUUAAGCGAUUACUAAAGUUUGGGAGGAAAAACCCUGACGCAGAUAGUCUGGUUAAAGACUGGAUUGCUGCAACUACCUCUAAAGAAGAUAAUUGCGCAAUAAAUGGACAUGAUGGUCGCCAUCGCUCUAAUGAUAGCUUCUACGAGGAUGUGCUUUUAAAUGAACGAGUUCAAUCCUUGCACAGGUCUAUUGCGUCCCCUCCAGCUAACUUCAAACCGAGGGAGAAUCAUUUAUCAGGAAGCUCAAUAAAGGCUCCAAGAUCAUUCUUUUCUUUGUCGUCAUUCAGAAGCAAGGGAAAGGACUUGAAGCCAAGAUAAGUCCCUCGAAGGACAAAGGUUCCAGCGAUAUAUAAAACACAUUGAAUUGUCUUGAUGACACACAUUUUCAAAUCAUAAUAUUUUUUUUUCCAGCCAGAGCUUGAGGAAUUGGCGGGAGAAUUAAGCUGGAGAGCUAGAGCACAUGCAAAAUUCUUGAAAGGUCAAAGUUUCAAGUAAUUCAGCAUGUGCCCUGCUUCUCCAGCUUAAAUAAUCGUCCACCUAACUAUGACGAAUCAUCUGAAUAGCACGAAACAAGGGCAGCUGACUCCAACUAAGUAGGGAUCAACGCGUAUACUAUUUGCUUUAGAGAAGCAUAUUAUCCUGGAAAUGACACAUCUCUAUGAAAGUACUUAUAUAUUUAUAGGAUUAUACUUCACGAAAACAAAUACUUUGUAAUAGUACUUUUAUGAUUAGAUGGUAGUUGAUUUUGUGCUGAUUUUGCUUGGGAAAUAUACUAGGCCAAUGUAGCAUAUUUUAAUCAAAUAUGCAGAAAAGGCCAAAGGAGAAAUGAAUAUUUUGCUAUGGUGAUUGUUGAAGUUGGCAGCCAAAAAAGAAAUCCAUAUAUAAUGAGAUUUCUCGACCAAAUGUAACCUAAUUAAGAGUAGAAAGGCAAGGCAGGCCACCCACCCUAUGGGUCUUAAAAGAGUUGUAGUAGUCCUCUUCGACUUUA